AACGAACGCUGGCGGCAGGCUUAACACAUGCAAGUCGAGCGCGUAGCAAUACGAGCGGCAGACGGGUGAGUAACGCGUGGGAAUCUACCGUGCCCUAUGGAAUAGCUCCGGGAAACUGGAAUUAAUACCAUAUACGCCCUUCGGGGGAAAGAUUUAUCGGGGUAUGAUGAGCCCGCGUUGGAUUAGCUAGUUGGUGGGGUAAAGGCCUACCAAGGCGACGAUCCAUAGCUGGUCUGAGAGGAUGAUCAGCCACAUUGGGACUGAGACACGGCCCAAACUCCUACGGGAGGCAGCAGUGGGGAAUAUUGGACAAUGGGCGCAAGCCUGAUCCAGCCAUGCCGCGUGAGUGAUGAAGGCCCUAGGGUUGUAAAGCUCU
rnacentral:rRNA from 1 species